GUGGUUCGAGUCCACGUGGAUCCCUUUAUUGCUAUGAGCAUUACUGAAUUGUUCCAAGAAUGAUUUGAAUUGCCAAUUUUCUGAAGAAUUUAUUGAAAUCCUCUGCCCUGCUAUGCUCCUCAUUUCCUCUUUGUGGUACAAGCUGUGUCAAUGCCAGUCGCAUGAAUCUUCGUGCUCUUCAUUACAGCCAAAGCCAAGCCUUCGAUCAUCAGUUCAGUGGCAGCACGAAUUCUGUUAUAGUAGAUACUUUGAGCUGAUUCUGAGUAGUGUGUAGACCCAAAUCAACAUUAGAAGAUUGUUUCAGGGACAAAGCAGCCUAGAAUUCUGGUGCUUAGUUUACGUAAGGGAUAUACUUUGCUACCUCUUUCCCGUUUCUAUUUGCAGCAAGGCUGUUGUAUUCUGUUGAGAAAGGAAUCCUUUUCUGGUCAUGUGGGUUUCUCUUCACUGUUGCUACCUCUAUUAUUUCCAAGUUGGUAGAAUAUGUGAGGAGGAGAAAUCAAAGUCAUCCAUAUAAAUAAAUAUAUGAAUCAAAGAUUUCUCAUUUUUAAUU